UGCUUCCUAGCGUUUGUAACGUCUGACUUUGGGAACGACUUGGUAGUGUGGAUGCGCUUCCGCUUCCGCUUUUUAAUACUGCGUUUCCGCUUGUAAACACCUGUUUACUUCUGAAAAAAACAUGGAAGCAAUGAAGCUGGUCAAUAUUUUUUUGCUGUGGUCUGAGCUGGAGGAGGACUCCGAAAGACUCCAUCGACGGAGGGUUGAACGGAGGAGACGACGUCUCUAUUGUCGCAGUCUCUGCCAUCAGAAUGUCGAGGCCAGGCAUUACUGCCAAAUCAAUGCCACUGUGCCGGUGCUGCAGCGCUUCUUCCAGGGAGAGGACACCCGCCCUGAUUUCAGGCUUAGCCGGCAGGCUAUCCAGGUCCUCCUUGGGGUCCUCCAAACGGAACGACAGCACGGUUGGGGGCCCACCAUGGAGACCCUGGUCUUUUUGUUUUGGAUUGCUACUGGCGCAGCCUAUCGAGUUGUGUCCAGAGCUUUUGCCAUUCCAAUGUCAUUUGUCCAAAGAAUGGUGCAUAGCAUUGCGGAGGAGGUGGUAGCUGUCCGGGGCAGUUUUAUUAAGCUGCCAUCAAAUGAUGAGGAGGUCAAGGCCAUGGGGGAAGGGUUUGCCCUGCUGGCAGGGCACCCUGCUUUCGCCAAAGCAGCUGGGGCCAUCGACGGGUCCCACAUCCAAAUUAAAUGUCCUGGCGGCCCUGAUGGUCAAGACUACGUGAACAGGAAGUUGUAUCAAUCCAUGGUGCUGCAGGCAGUCUGUGACCAUCAGGGUCGCUUCAUUGACACCUUUGUGGGCUUCCCAGGAAGCGUGCAUGAUGCACGCAUCCUGCGAAAGUUUGAUUUACCUGGCUGGCAAUUACCCUCCACCAGGCUAUUUCAUCUUGGGUGACGGUGGCUAUCCAUGCCUUACACAGCCGAUGGCCCUUAUCACAGCAUAUAAGCGGCCACUCAGAGGCAUGGCAGAGCAACGGUUUAACACUCAUCACUCUCGGGCCCGCUCAAUUGUUGAGCGUGCCUUUGGGAUGAUGAAAACCCGCUUCAGGUGCAUCUUUCUAGAGGCACUUGAAGUACAUAGUGAGUUUGUGCCAAAGGUGGUGACUGCGUGUGCAGUACUGCACAACAUUUGUGUUGGUGUGGGCGAUGAGCUCCCAGUGGAGGAUGGGGCCAUGGAGGGAGAUGACCCUCCUCUUGAAGAAGAAUGUGGCACGGAGCCACAGAGUGGAGCUCCUUGGCGUGCGGCCCUGGCCAAUGCCAUUACCCCCCUUGAAGUGGCUCCACAGGACCACGACUACUUUCUUCUGCCUGUGACCAGGACAUACAUUUUAACAUAGAUUUUUUUGGUAUUUUGUAAUCACUUUUGUCCGAAAUGAAUGUGUUUUUUGUUGUGGUUGAUCAAAUAGUCUUUAUUUAAAAUAAAUCCAUUCCUUUUUUGUACAAAUAAGUGAAAUUGUCUGAGAACUUAAUUUAUGCAUCACAGUUACAGUAUGGUUGAUUAUUAAUUAUGCACGGGAAAAAAGACAAAUAAAGUGUUGAUAAACAUGUAUUUAUUUUUAACUGAUCGGAUCUCAUUCAUU